rnacentral:lncRNA from 1 species
UUUUUUCUUUUUCUGGGAGGAUCUGAAGUUUUUUUUUUUAAAAAAUUAAAAUACUAUAAGGAAGUAGAAGCCUAGAAAGACAUAAUUACCAAAAUAUUCACGUAUGGAAGAUAUUCGAUAAACACCUUAUUGAAAUUUGACUCGUCAGUAAAGAGUUUCCGAUAGAAAAUAUAUAUUUAUGAAUAGAAGAACACAAUUUACAUAAUAUCUUAGGGGAUCAUAGCUCACUUAUCGAAACUUAAGAAGGGCAUAUAUGAAUUGAAAUUUUUCUGUGACUUGCAGUCAAUUGUUAUUAUAUACUUAAUCGACUUACAUUAGUUUUAAAAAACUAUAAUAUAUAAUUGAUGAAAUGAAAAUAAACAUAUAACCUUACCCUGAUUCAGAUCAUCGAUAUGCCGCCCGCUUGUAAAGUAUAACCAUAAAAAAGUUUUGAAUUAAAAUAUAUUUUUUUAAAAAAAACUCAAAUUAGUUCAAAAAGGUGUAUAUCUAUCCUAACAAACUUUUAGAGUUGUGUGCGAGUUGCGGCAUUUGAAGAAAAAUUUGUCCAACAAAAUAAUCAUCACUCACACCUAACAAAUUUAAGUUUGUAUAAACAAAUAUCUUAAAAUUUAUCCUACUAGUCUUCCUAUUUUAUGUAACCAAACCAGCAGCCAACAACUUGUAAAUUACCCGUAAGACGCGGAGCCAGAAUUUCCUAAGGGGUUUAAAAUUUAUAGAAAUAGAUAUAUGAGGUAGUUGAAAGGAAUCGACAUUUACUAUAUUUAUACAUAUAAAAUUAUUUUAAUCAAAUAUAAAUAAUAUUACUUUCUGUUGAAGAAGGUUCGAAUAAAUCCCUUCCUACAAGGUAACUUAUCCCUGGCUACCAAUUAAGAUAAUUUAGGUUUAUGCGAAACUUCGAUAUGAAAUCAUUUUUGUUAUGAAUUAAAAUCAUUUAUAGUUACGAGGAUAAAUAUUCAAGGAAUUAGUAAUUGAAAUAACUGAUACUUUAGGGAAAAUCUGAAUAAAAAUUAAAACACGUCUAACUUAUGUAUAUAUGUUUUUUUUUUUUAAAUGUCAUAAUCAAAAGAGUCUGCAUUAUUAUUGAAUUAAAAGUAUAUAAUGCAUUGUUUUCUCCAAUCCAAUCCAAUUAAGUUUGCUACCAAUCCUCUAAUCCCUUAAAAAAAGUCGUUGCCUUAAGUGGAAAGAAAGGAAUAAAGUACGAAGAUAAACAUUUUUUGUCAAUAUACAUAUUUGUUUUUUUUUUGUUUACAAAGCUUUAAAGUAUUAUUUUCUCGUAGCUAUCAUGUGGUAUUUGGUAUUUGAGAUAAGUUUAAAUCACGUUACGAAAUUAAGCCUUUAAUAAAUUAUUUGAUACGUGAAAUGAAAUAAUCAAAAAUAUCUUCUGAGUUAAAAUAUUUCAUAAGAUAUUACUCUUAUCUUAUCUUUUAUAUAAGAUAAAACAAUGUGAUAAUUAAUUAACACCUCAAAUUAAAAAUGUGAAAGAGAGAUUAUUAUGUUUAUCCCAUUAAGCAAAGUACCAAUAUUCCAUCCCAAAAUCUUAUAUAUAUAUAUAUAUACUCAAUAACAUUGACAUAUCCUCCAAGACAACUUUAUAUUAUUUAAAUCUUCAAUUUCUUCUUUCCCCUCCUUUUAUACAAACAAUGGCUAGAGAACAAAGAAUUAUGAAGAUCAAAUUUGAGUCUCCAACAUCAGAAUUCUAUGCUCAAGUUAGAGAAAAAAGUAGUGUAAGAGAAUUGAUGAAAAUAAUAAAAAAGGUAUGGGGAGAUGAAUACAUGAGACUUUAUCACAAGUCUAAAGAAAUGAAAAGUGAUCAAUUUUUAUCUGUUUAUAAUAUCAAAGAUGGAUCUAUUAUCAAAGUUCAAGUUCUUGCAGAACCUCCCGAUCAUCAUCAUCAUCAAUCACUAAAUGAUAUUUGCACAAACAACUUCAAGUUCAUGGAGAACAACAAAAAAUUAAAUAGAUUUUCAAUUCUUCGCUUAAUUCAUUCUGUUUCUUAAAGUGUAUACCUAUAUAUAUAUAUGAUUGUUUCUCUAGUUUUAUAGUGAAAGAUCUUUUAGAAAUAUUCUCUCGAUCUUUAUAAGAUAGAGAUAAUAUUUGCAUACAUUGGAUAUGUUAUUAUUGUUAUUGUAAUAGUUUUAUGUAAUUAAUGAUUGUUCCAAAAUUUAUGCUAACAAUAUAAUGAUUCAAACUUCAAAGAAUCAAGAUUACUUCAUUUGUUGUAUGAGUAUAUAUUCCAUUUAAUUCUCUACACUCUUUUUCUUGUUGUCCUCGAAUGAAUCAUCUAAUGCAAUAAGAGAUGAUUUUUUUUUUUAUAAAUUGAAAAAGAUAACAGGACAAAUAAAUUGAAACUGAAUUAGAGGACUAACUAUUUGAAAUUGUUUUUAACUAAGAUUAAAAUUAAAUGGAUAAAAUGGGAUAAUUACACAAAUGAUUGACUAAAGUGAGAGUUAAAUAGUUAAAAAGGACUUCUUGUUAAAUAGGAGGACUUAAUUGGACCUUUUGAAAGUAUAUGGGGCCAAUUUUGACACUUUCAAAACCAUACAAGGGCUAAAAUUCAUUUCACCAUAUUUCCCUUGAGUCCUGAAGAACUUCAAUUUACACCUUUUGCCUCGUCGGAAAUCAGUCACUAUCGCCGGAAAACAUGUCUGUUACAUCUUUUCGCCGGGAAACUGCUCCUCUACUACUAACAUUAGUUUUCCGCCGGUAACUAUUGAAAUAAAUGAUUAAUGAUGGAGCUCGUAUGGUGUAUUUGCUAUGAAAAGGCAAAAAACGAUAUGCUUCCUUGUUCGAGUUUUUUCCGGCAGAUGGUUAAGUUUGAAGUGAAAUUUACAGUUUAUUCGAUGACAGUGGUAAUUGAUGAGUUGUGUAAAAUGGGGGAGUUUCAUAAGGCAAGAAAAUUCAUGGAUGAUAAAUUUGUGAAACCAAAUAGUUGCAGUUAUAAAAAACUAUUGAAUACAUGUAUAAAGAAACCAGAUUUUUUGAUUGUGAAGGUGAUUUUGAGGACAAUGGAGAAGGAAGGAUGGGAUUUCGACCCGAAAAGUUAUACACUUCUGAUUAAACGUUAUUCAAAUUUUGGAGAAUUUGGAGAAAUGAAGAGAUUAUUUAUGGAAAUUGAAGAGAAGGGUGUAAAGCCAGAUGUAUAUUUAUACACAUCUAUGAUUAGUGGUUAUUGUAAAUUAGGUAAUGUUAGGAAGGCAUAUCAACUGUUCGACGAAAUGACUAAGAGAGGACUUGUUCCUGAUGGUCAUACGUAUGGGGCUUUGAUAAAUGGGUUGUGCAAAGCUGGACUAAUGCAAGAAGCUGAAGUUCUGGUUAAUGAGAUGCAAAGCAAGGGAAUUUGGAUUAAUCGAGCUAUAUUUAAUACGAUGAUGGAUGGUUAUUGUAAGCAGGGUAAUGUGGAUGAAGCGUUGAGGUUACAGAGAAUUAUGGAGGAUGAAGGACAUGAGCCUGAUGCAAAUGCUUACAAUAUUAUUGCUACUGGCCUGCGUAAGCUAGAUUUGCAUGACGUGGCGAAGAGGUUGUUGCUGUCGAUGGUGGAUCGAGGUGUAGCUCCAAAUGUAUUGGCUUAUACGUCUUUGAUUGAUAUUUACUGCAAGCAGGGAGAUUUUGUUCAAGCGAAAAGGACACUUAGAGAGAUGGAAACUAAGGGAAUUAAGCCUAGCACGGGAACAUACAAUGCCCUGGUAGAUGGUUACUUCAAGCAUGGAUAUUUUAUUGACGCAAAAAGGGCACUUAUUGAGAUAGAAACUAAAGGAGUUAAGCCUAACACGACAACAUAUACUGUGUUGAUAGAUGGUUAUUCUAAGCAAGGAGAUUUUGUUAGAGCUAAAAAGACACUUAUUGAGAUGGAGAAUAACGGAGUUAAGCCUAACACCAAUACAUACACUGCACUGAUAGAUGGUUAUUGCCAGAAAGGUAUGAUGAAUGAAGCUUAUAAGCUUAGAAAUCUCAUGGAAUCUAAGGACUUGAUAGCUAACGUCUAUACAUACACCUCACUUGUACAUGGGGAAUGCAAAUUAGGAAAGGUAGAUGAUGCUCUGAAGCUUUUGAAUGAGAUGCCUACAAAGGGUUUAGUUCCGAAUGUUGUGACUUACACAGCAUUGAUUUCUGGCUUAUCAAAAGAAGGCAGAUCAGGUGAAGCCAUCCGAUUAUACAAUCAGAUGAUAGAGGCAGGCGUAGUACCCGAUGCUGCUGCAUACUCUGCACUUAGUGUGAGAAAUUCUUCUCUAUAAACUUGUACAUCGUGAACUUUAUUUGGAUUAGGUUUAGCCAGUCAGAAGUAUAUAUAGCAGAUUGUUUUUUAAUUAAACUGGAAUUCACUGAGUUGAACCAUUAGCUAUUGUACAUGUGCUUUUGUAUAUUUUAUUUUGUAGAAUGCUUCUAUUAUGCCUAGAGUUAGUAUUCUAAUAUGUACAUGUGCAUGUCAAAAGGAUUAAAAUUAAGGACCAUAUCUUGUGCUUGUUGAAAAGAGAAGUCUUCAUGUGCAGUGUAUAGGUGUAGUAGACCCCAUACUUGUAAGUUGUAACUUGAUAUCAGCUGCAUGUUGAAAUAUGAAGGUUAAGAGCCAUUGCUUGCUGGAUAUAGAAGAGAAAAUUCUGCAUGGUUAGUAUUUUGGAUAUAUUCGAGAGUGUUAUCGAAGGGAAAAAACUUAAGCUUUGGUGGGACUUAAGCCUUUAAACGCAAAGGACAGUUAAAACAUGGACUUAAGUGGGAAGUGUGGAAAUGAAGGAUAAAGUAGAAUGAAAGGAAUGUAAUUUACAAAUCAUAAAUAUAAGUACAAAUGAAAAUUAUAGAAAGGAUAAAAGAAUUUAGGAAUUUACGUGUAAGUCAUUGUUUAGUGUCAUCUCUUUAGGAUAAAUCCCAUUGGUGAUAAAGUGUAUGCUUUCGUACCUUUGUGGCUGCACUGAAGCGCCAACUAAGUGAGGGUGAAUCACUCGAACUGUUUAGCACCUUGCUUCUGAGUCUUUGACAACACUAAUACUUUGGUUUAUACUAUCUCCACAAUUUUCUUUUCUGAUUACUACCUUCUGGAAAUUAUAGUUUUUGGCGGACAACUGGAGUAGCAAAGGUCCUCUAGCCAAUGAUUACCAUGAAACAUAGAAGAAUACGGAGACUCUAGUAAGACAUUUCAUUACCAAUGGAACUUGGGACAAUGCAAAGAUGCAGAACAUCCUAUGAGAUAGCACAAUUCAGCAUAUUAAGACCAUUUGGAAUUGGCAAGUAUGACACUCAAGACCAGGUCUUUUGGGACCUCACAAAAGAUGGGAAAUAUUCCAACAGACCACAAUAUUGAUCAGGUAUGGAACUCCAACAUUCCUUUUAAGAUUUCAUUUUUCGUUUGGAAAUUCUGGCAGGGAGAACAUUCCUUUGACGAAGUAAUUAGCAGAUUUGGUAUUCUGAAGGAUACUCUAUGCAACUGCUGCUCUCUUCCUAAAAUGAAAAUCAAAUGCAACAUGUUUUUCUUCGCAGCUCAAUAUGUGUGGAAGCAAUUUGGAGGGCCUCUGGCAAUCAGAACUUACAACUGGUGGAAUCAAAAAAUCAAAUAAUUCCAUCGACAAGCUAGUUCGUCAAACUAGACCAGGCCUUAUCUGUUUGGAGAUUUAGAAACAAAGGUCCGAGUGCAGUAAUUAUAGAGGCUCAAGUAAUUUCUACAGAUAUAUAAUGAUCCAACACAUUCAGAGUACGAUUGCUAAAGCUUAUUCAAAAGUUGGUUCAACAUUACUUUGGAUCACGCUUUGUGAAAAAAUUGUGAAGCUGAAACCUGCCUCAAACCUUUCUAUUGUAUGCUGGAAGUUCCUCGAAGAUGGCGUCCUUAAAUUGAAUACUGAUGGAAGUUUUGAGGGAUAAUAGAGGCAACCUCAUCUUGGCUUUCUCCUCACCUUCGAGUUGUUGCUGCAGCAGCACAUAAGCAGAAGCUAAGGCUGCCAGUUAUGGACAAAGCCUUCGCCUACUGAAAAAUCUGAAAGAACUUCACCAAAUAGAGAGACUCUUUGAUCCUAUUUCCGAUGAUUGUGAACAACCAGCAAUCCAACUACAAGCUCAAUUGCAUUAUUGAGGAAAUACAACAAAGAACGAAACAAGCUAAUGUUAAAGCAACUCACCACGAGGCUAACGAAGUAGCAGACCACCUGGUAAAACUGGCUAUGAGCAGUCGAAAACGACUCCUUUCAACAUCUCCAGCAAGGGCAAAAGGGCCGUUCUAUUUGUAUAACUAAAUGUUAAUCUUAUAUUGUGAACAAAUAUGCAUAUUCCAAAGAUUUCAAUGUGAGAAAGAGAGAAUAUUUUCAAGAUACUACAAAAAUUUUCAUGUAAAAUUCAGUGAAAUGUCUUCAUGUUAAAGAUUAAAGUGUUUUUACUAGACACUUUUAAUUACAAUAAGCUAUAACACUUGGGUAUAAGUUCCAGUUGAUGCUUAUGUGUAUAAUAAAAAUUUUAUGGAAUUAAUUUAUUUAUGUGAGACUCACAUACAUAAACUGAAGGAUUUAUUCCACGUGAUCGUUUAUCUAAUAGUUAUUAUUUCAAAAUUUUACUCACGUUUAUCUAAUAGUUAUUAUUUCAAAAUUUUAUCUUCUUUUUUUGAAGAAUUUCAUAUAUCUAUAAUAACUAUUAAUCAAAUAAUCAUAUGAAAAAUCAACUGAACAAAAAUUACUUAUUACUAUAUCCAUUUAUCAUGUGUUAAAAACUUUAAUUAGAAUAAGUUAUAUUUUAUAUGUCUAAAUAAAAUAAUGACAAAUUUAAGUUCCACGAGGUGCUAAAUUUGACAAUUGAAAUUGAGUUGAUGGAGAGGAAUAAUUGGACUAAAUUAGAUGAGGACUAAAUGUAACUUUUUAAAAGUAUAGAGGGUCAAUUUGUAUACCUUUUAUGAGACCUCUUUUGCAUUUCAAUCAAAAUUCUUCACAGCCGUUUUCUCCAAGCUCUCUUAAAAGCUUCAAAUUUAAUUUGCUCAGCUCGCCGGGAACUCGCCGAAGCUCGCCGGGAAAAAGGGUAUCUCCAGCUCGCCGGGAAAAAGGGUAUCUCCAGCUCGAAGGAAAACAGGGUAUGUCCAGUUGCGUUAAUAGAGGUAACCAAUAUUUCUGAAGUUCAGAAAUGAAAAUUUCAAAUUGCACUAUUCAAGUUUAUAGGUAUUGAGUUGUUCUUCACAUGUCGACUCAAAAGUUCUACCAACCGAUAAAACAACGUUUCCCCAAUAGACCCAUUAAAGAAAUUGCCAAACUAAUCUCCCUCUUCCCCCCUUCCCAUUCUACUUGCUCAAAUUUCUUCAAUUUCAAGAAAAAUCCCAAUCUUGAAACCCAUUUAGCCGUAGUUGUAGACUUAUUAAAGUCCAAGGAGUUUGCUGAAGCCGAGAAUAUAUUGAAUGCUGUUGUUGUUACUGAUGGUCUGAGGAAACCAGUUUCAAAAAUAGCUUCUUUGUUGAGUGAGAAUUAUGUAAAGUGUAAAGUUAUAGGGAAGAUGUUUAAUAUGUUAUUUAGUGUUUAUGUUAAUAACAUGAGGUUUAGUGAAGCUUUACAAGUUUUUGAUUAUAUGAAAAAAUGGCGCUUUAGAAUUGAUGAUAGAGCUUGUAUGGUUUACUUGCUUGCUAUGAAAAGGCAAAGGCAGUAUGACUCGUUGUUCGAGUUUUUCCAUAAGAUGGUUAAGUUUAAUGUGAAAAUUACAGUUUAUUCGAUGACGGUGGUAGUUGAUGGAUUGUGUAAAAUGGGGGAGGUUUGUGAGGCUAGAAAGCUCGUGGAUGAAAUGGCUAGUACUGGGGUGAAACAAAGUGAUUAUACUUAUAACAUAUUGUUACAAGCAUAUAUGAAGAUGCAAGAUUUUGUGGCUGUAAAGGAAAUUUUGAGGAAAAUGGAGAAGGAUGGUUUUGAUCUCAAUCUGACUAGUUAUACACUUCUGAUUAAAGGAUAUUCAACUUUUGGCGAUCUUGUAGAGGUUGAGAGGUUAUUUAAGGAAAUAGAAGAGAAGGGUAUAGAGCCAAAUGUUCAUUUAUUCACCUCCAUGAUUAGUGGUUACAGUAAGUUAGGUAAUGUUAUGAAGGCAUUUUCAACGUUCGUUGAAAUGGUGGAGAGAGGCCUCAUUCCUGAUGGUCACACAUAUGGAGCUUUGAUAAAUGGCUUCUGCAAGGCUGGACUAAUGCAAGGAGCUGAAGUUUUACUAAAUGAGAUGCAAGGAAAGGGAAUUAGUGUAGACCGGGUCAUAUUUAAUACGAUGAUGGAUGGUUACUGUAAGCAGGGUAAUGUGGAUGAAGCACUGAGGCUACAGACAAUUAUGGAGGGUGAAGGACAUCAGCCUGAUGCAAAUGCUUACAAUAUAAUUGCUACGGGCCUGCGUAAGCUAGAAUUGUAUGAUGAAGCAAAAAGUUUGUUGCUCUCGAUGGUGGAUCGAGGUGUAGCUCCAGAUACAAUUAGUUAUACAACUUUGAUCGAUAUUUAUUGCAAGCAGGGAAAUUUUGUGGAAGCAAAAAGGGCACUUAUUGAGAUGGAAACUAAGGGAAUUAAGCCUAACACGGCAACAUACACUACACUGGUAGAUGGUUAUUGCAAGCUAGGAAAAAUUGUUGACGCGAAAAGGAUACUUAGGGUGAUGGAAACUGCUGGAGUUAAGCCUAACACAACAACAAACAGUGUCUGUGCCCUGAUAGAUGGUUACUGCAAGCAGGGAAAUUUCAUUGAAGCAAAAACGGUAUUUAGUGAGAUUGGAACUAAGGGAGUUAAGCCUAACACAGUAACGUACACUGCCCUGAUAGAUGGUUAUUGUAAGGUGCGAAAUCCUGCUAAAGCUGAAAAGGUACUUGUUGAGAUGGAAACUAAGGGAGUUAAGCCUACUACGGUAACGUACACUGCCCUGAUAGAUGGUUGUUGCAAGGUAGGAAAUAUUGCUAAAGCAAUAAAGGUACUUAUUGAGAUGGAAACUAAGGGAGUGAAGCCUAACACGGUAACGUACACUGCCCUGAUAGAUGGUUGUUGCAAGGUGGGAAAUAUUGCUAAAUACACCUCACUUGUACAUAGGGAAUGCAAAUCAGGAAAGGUAGAUGAUGCUCUGAAGCUUUUCAACGAGAUGCCUACAAAGGGUUUAGUUCCGAAUGUUGUGACUUACACAGCAGUGAUUUCUGGCUUAUCAAAAGAAGGCAGAUCAGGUGAAGCCCUCCGAUUAUACAACCAGAUGAUAGAGGCAGGCGUAAUACCCGAUGCUGCUGCAUACUCUGCACUUAGAGUGAGAAAUUCUUCUCUAUAAACUUUUACAUAGUGAACUUUAUUUGGAUUAGAUUUAGCCAGUCAGAAGUGUAUAUAGCAGAUUGUUUUUAAAUUAAACUGGAAUUCACAGAGUUGAACUAUUAGCUAUUGUACUUGUGCUUUUGUAUAUUUUAUUGUUGUAGAAUGCUUCUAUUAUGUCCAGAGAUUGUAUUCUAAGAUAUACAUGUGCAUAUCAGAAAAAGUCGAUGCUUUGAAGCUUUCGAUCGAGAUUCUUACAAAGGAUUUAGUUCCAGAUCGGACUUGGUGACUUACGCAAUGAUGAUUUCUGGCCUAUCAAAAGAGUAUACAAUCAGAUGAUAGAGGCAGGCCUAACACUCGGUGUUACAUACCCUGCACUUGUGGAUAUACUAUCUUGUAAGUCUUUAACUUCAUGUAAGUCAGACUUAGCUAAUUGGAAGCAUAACAGAUUGUUCUGCACUUCUUCAUGGUGUUUUACUUGAGCAAACUGAAUUAUAUGGUGCAGGACAUCCUGCAGAAAUUCGGUGUGCCUAGGUUGUUACUGCAGAUCUUAGUGUUGUCCACGGACAUUGUCUGCUAUAAACUCAAGGUUGAUAUCGAUUUGAUCAGCCAAAGAAGAGCAAAAGUGCAGCUCAGAUUUUAGCUGCUUGAUUUCCUUCAUUUAGACUAUGAUCUAAGAAGACUGGAGCUCGAUGACAUCUGUGAGUAUUCAGAUGACAUUAGAAUAUAACAACUUGCUAUUAUUUGAAUCAACAUACUGUUACCUUUAUCAAAAAAGAAAUAUUUGAAUCAACAUGAAAUAUCAACCAUGAGAUUAAAUAACUGUGGGUGGGUUUUAAAGAUAAAUGUUGUUCAUUACGAAGUCAUGAUGGGAAAACAAAGUGACUACCUUGGUUGUUUUAUCAUUUUCUUAGAGUUACAAUACAUAUAACUUCUCGCAGGGUGGAUCAAUUUACACCAGAACAAGCAUUUUUUUGGAAGUCUUUACAAAAUUUAGCAAAGACUCUAGUUUUAUCUUGCCUACAAUACAAGAUUGACAACUAUACCCACAGGCUUGCCACAGAUUUCCCAGUUAGUUGUUGCCUUGUAAAAUACUCUGGAUCAAGUAAUAAAAAACUUCCUUCCGCUGCUUGAUCAAUUUCUGGACCAAUUCUUGAUAGUCCCAAAAUCAAAAACAUUAGCCUUGAGAUUUUCAUCUAGCAGUAGGUUUGGAGAUUUGACGUCAAAGCAAGUAAUUGCCUGCUGAAAAGUAUGAAGAUAAUGAAGUUCUGAUCCUACAGGAAUUUCAAGUCUUUGCAUUCAACUUCAAAUUUAGAAGGUUUGAGACAUACAGAUGAUCCUUAAAGUCGUAAGUAAUAAUCUUCUCAUUCUUUUAAUCGCAGUACUCAAUGAUAUACCUUUGCAUUUUUCCAACCUUGGUGAUACAUGUAUAUAUCCUACAUGGAUAAGAGUAUAUAGAGAAGAUCCAAUUACAAUUGAGUAGAACGGCGAGUUGUAAACCCUGAAGAGCUUGUUGAAAGAGAAGUGUUGAUGAAGAUGCUGAGCUAUGAAGACAAUGUUGAAAGAAUUUAAGAGGAAGUAGAGCAUGACAUGAAUACUACAUUUAUGUCACAUUCUAAUGAUAUGUUCAGUUCCUUUGUCAACAAACUUCAGAAUCAGUUGUAAAACGAAGGGAAGUGUAUUAAACAUUGUUGUAUAUUUUGGAAAUUCUUAUGCUUUUGUUUAGGAAUAUUAUGUGAUGUGAAAUAAUCACAUUCGUUUUUUUUUCUCACUUUAAAAUCAACAAAUAAAAAGAAAAACAGAUGAUAAGAAUUAAAAAACACACAAAACCACACUUGAUAAUGUUUUUUUUUUUCACCAUGAGAAAGCCUUGUACUAAACAGAAUUUUUUGAAUCAAUGAAUCGAUGAAGAGGAGUUAUCUUUAAUUACACAGUCCUUCAUCCUUGAUCAGAGUUGAAGGUUCUAGUUGUCCUCAAACUUAGAAAACACUUUAUCCUCAAACUUCUCAUGAAACUUGUGAAGCAUUUUACCCUAAAUGUGGAACUUUCUGUUGAAACUUAUGAAGCGUUUACUCUAAAUGUGGAACUUUUCGUAAAAUUUAUAAAGCGAUUUUAUCCUCAAUGCGAAACUUUUCGUGGAUUUUGAGAAUAAUUCAAUGUGACAUCGAGUGGGAUACCAAAAAUAAAAACACAACUUUAAAAAAGGGACUUAAUGGAUGUUUCAAGAAGAAUUUGGGCCAAAUUUUAAACUCUUUCAAAACUAUAGAAAGGCUAAAAUUCAGCUGACGCCGUCUUCCCCAGUUACUGAAGAAACAAAACGUCGCCGGGAACUGGAUUCCGUCACCGGGAAAAACAUGUCAUCCUUCCGGUAAUCUCUUUAAACUCAUAAAACUUCCAUAGUAAAUAUCUCAGCUUUAUUCUCAAAUGUCGACUGAAAAGUUUUACCGAACUGCAAAACAAUUAUUUCCCAAAAAACCAAAUGAAGAAAUUGCUAAAUUGAUCUCCAAUACUCUGAUAAAUUUGAGUUCUACAAAGGAAAUACCCCCAUCUCUAACUUCCUACCUCAAUCCCCAAGUAACCCAUCUGGUUUUUUCAAACCCAUCUGUCCCUACACAAUCUUGUUUAAGUUUCUUCAAAUUUCUCCAAAAAAAUCAAUCUUUCGAAAGACCCAAUCUUGAAUCACAUAUAGCCUUGUGUUUGCGCUUGUUUAAAGCCAGGAAGUUUGCUGAAGCCAAAAGUAUAUUGCAUACAGUUGCUUCUGAUGAUAGUUUAAGGAAACCAAUUUCAGAAGUAGCUUCAUUUUUGGGUGAGAAUCAUGUAGAACAUAAAGUUAUGGGGAAGAUGUUUGACAUGUUGUUUAGGGUAUAUGUUGAUAGUAUGAGGUUUAAGGAUGCUCUUGAGGUUUUUGAGUAUAUGAAGAAUGGUGGGUUCGAGAUAGAUGAUAGAUCUUGUAUGGUUUACUUACUUGCUAUGAAAAGACGAAAACAGUAUGACUCACUGGUUGAGUUUUUCGAGAUGAUGGUUGAAUUUGAUGUGAGAAUUACGGUGUACUCUAUGACGAUGGUUAUAGACGGUUUGUGUAAAGUAGGAGAGGUUAGCAAGGCAAGAAAACUCAUGGAUGAAAUGGUUAGUAAAGGGGUGAAACCAAAUGUGUACACUUACAACACAUUAUUAGAUGCUUGCAUGAAGAAGCCAGAUUUUGUGGCUCUGAAGGAGAUUUUGAUGGCUAUGGAGAAAGAGGGGUUGGAUCUUGAUGUGACGAGUUAUACUCUUCUGAUUAACGGGUAUUGUAAUAUUGGCAAUCUUAAAGAGGUUGAUAGGUUGUUUAGGGAAAUAGAAGGGAAAGGCAUAGAGCCAGAUGUUCAUUUAUACACCUCUAUGAUUAGUGGUUGUAGUAAGUUAGGUAAUGUCAAAAAAGCAUUUUCAGUGUUUGAUGAAAUGGUGGAGAGGGGUCUCGUUCCGAAUGCUCACACAUAUGGAGCUUUGAUAAAUUGCUUGUGUAAGGCUGGACAGAUGCAAGCUGCUGAAGUUUUACUUGAUGAGAUGCAUAGUAAGGGGGUUGAUAUUGGUCCAGUUAUAUUUAAUACAAUGAUGGAUGGUUACUGUAAGCAAGGUAAUAUCGAUGAAGCAUGGAGGCUGCAGAAAAUUAUGGAGGGGAAAGGGUAUGAAUCUGAUGUAUAUGCUUACAACAUAAUUGCUACUGGAUUGUGUAAGUUAGAUCGGUGUGAGGAAGCAAAGACGUGGUUGUUCUCAAUGGUGGAUCGAGGUGUAGCUCCAAAUGAAGUUGCUCAUACAACUUUGAUCAGUAUAUAUUCUAAGGAAGGAAAUUUUGUUGAAGCAAAAAGGACACUUGGUGAGAUGGAAACAAAGGGAAUGAAGCCUAAUACGGCAACGUACAAUACCCUGAUGGAUGGUUAUUGCAAGAAGGGCAUGAUGAAGGAAGCGUAUAAGCUAAAGAAUGUUAUGGAAUGUAAAGGCCUGAAACCUGAUCCCUAUACAUACACCUCACUUGUACACGGAGAAUGCAUAUCAGGGAAGGUAGAUGAAGCUCUGAAACUUUUCAACGAGAUGCCUCGAGAAGGUAUAGUUCCAAAUGUGGUGACUUACACAGCAAUGAUUUCUGGCUUAUCGAAAGAGGGCAGGUCAGAUGAAGCCUUCAGAUUGUAUGAUGAGAUGAUAGAGGCAGGACUUACACCUGAUGCUAGUGCAUAUUCUGCUCUCGUGGGCAGUCUUCAUGGUUGACGUUUAUUUAGUAUGUGAAGUUGCUCUAGAGGGACAUGUAAUCGUAAACAUCAAAAGUAAAUCAAAUGUAGCUAAUUGGAGCUAUAACAGAUUGUUCAAUAUAUCCUUCGGAUGUUUUAUAUAAAGGAAUUUAUUGCAGGACACUCUCACAGAUUCAAUGUGUCUUGUUUGUUGCUUGUCAUUGCAGAUCUUAUGUUGUCCUUGAACAUGGUCUGACAUAAUCUGAGCAAAGGCACUGCACAGAUAGUGAGAUCUAAGCUGCUUGAAUUCCUCUUAUGAUUUUAGCACAUUGAUCUACAAGAGGAUGAUAGGGCUAUGAUAUGUGUAAGUAUCCGGAGGACGUUAUGGUUUUAAAAGACAAGUUUUGUUUUGGUACGCAGUCAUGAUGAGUAAACCACUGCUUAGUGUAUUAUCUCAAACUUUGGAGGCAUUUUGCUAGCUUACACAUAUUUUCUUUAAGCUAUGUUGCUUUCUUAGUUGUCCAGUACGAAAAAUGAUGCUUCCUCUGUUAAUGUUGUUCCAUCUGGUGCCACUUCUCUUCUUCACAAACAUGAGGGAAAAGGUUAUAAGGCCUCUGUUGGGAUGUAUAAACUAAACUUGGAUAUCUUUGGAACAGAGACAAGCACCACUGUAUAAAGACUUCACAGACUUUUCCCAUAUGACAUAGAUGGGAACAUUGACAUACUUAAAUGAGAGGAUUACAGUGAAAACAGAAAGAUGUAUAUACAAGAGUGUAGUCGCAACUGUUCCUAUAUUUACUGUUCAGCACCUUCGCUGACUUAGAUCUCCAGAAGUCGCUCAACUGGCUGCCGACAUAUAGGACACCUAUUUGUCUGGAUCCUCAAGACUUUUGCACAACCACUGCACAUGCACUGCAUCAAGGAAAAUACUCAAUAUUUGUGGCAUAUAAUAGUAUUGCACCAAUAAAUAAGACAAACAAAAAACACUUGUGUCAUGUAUGGCUUCUUCAAUCAACACAGAAGCUGAUGCAUUGGUUUAUCAAGCGCAAUGAAACUGAUGCAUAUCAUAUUUACUGCUAGAUACACGAUAUUGUGUUGAUAUUUUGAACCAUGGCUAGUCUACUAACCAAAGAAAGGAAAUAAGGUGGGGUUUAAGGCCAGGGAAGAGUUACUCUCAAGUUGUAUUAGCGAAAACUGUUGCAACAGAAGCUGAAUAAACAAAGCAUUCAAGAUAGUUGUGCAUGUAUUCAGACCAGCACCUUAGAUGCAAGGGUUACGAAAGGUUAAAACCAUACCAUGUGUCGACAUGGAAGUACAGUUGUGUCCCGAGGUUCAGCAAGGCAUAUCACACAUUCUUUCCCAGGAUCAUUUCCGUCAAACUCAUUAUCAAUUGAAUCACCAAUCCCAUAAAUCUCUUGUAAUUCAUAUCUCAUGCCAUUGACCCAAAGUAUUUGCUUCACCACCCUAACAUUGUAUUCACCUUUAUCCUUUUCAAAAACUGCUAGAGUAAGCUGGGAAUUUGUGGACCCGGAUACUGCAUUCUCAUCCUCCGGUACACUUUCCUUACCUGGGAUUGCCUCUAGUUUCACCGCUAAUGGAUAUACAUCUGCAUCAGCAUAUAUGGAGGAUUCUGCUUCAUCAAAAAUCGAAAGAUCAAUGCCAGUUCCUGAGGGUUGCCUAAACUUCUGAGAUAAACCUUGUUGAAAUUCAACAGUUAUAGGUAGAAGUAAGCUUUCUUUCAUAGGUGUCAACAAACAAUCUUCACCUUCUUUUCCAAAGAAAAUGACAGUCAAGCUGCAACAGAUUAAAGAAAAAACCAAUUCAACACUUUACAGAUAAAAAAGUUGUGAAUGAUUCUUGAAGAUCCAUAAUAAUGACUAAUACUCAUUAAUGAGUUGUCAAGGGAUUUGACAUUAUAUGACUUGCAGCGAAAAAACAUCCUCAUUAUUUCAAGAGCAUAUAAGGCUGCUGAUUAACGAUUUUGAAUGAUGAAAUGCAGGAAUAUCAACAACGCACAGAUAAAUUUGUUAGAAUGAUAACUUGCAAGAACUACUAAGUAGCAACACGACGCAAUGUGUAAGAGAAUCCCAGAAAAUGAACUAUGACCAAACCAUAUCUAUGUCAAGAAAACUAAAGUUUGCAAGUCAUACAAUUUUAAGGGAAAAUCAGCAAAUGAAUUGUGUUCACCAAAUCAUACACUUAUAUGUCAAAAAAGUUCAAAACUUUAACAUACAUAUACUGAUUAAAAUGACACAUACAACACAAAACACUACAUUCCUACAUAGAGAGUAUACAACAAAAUCAUGUAUGAAUCAUUAAACUUUUACGAAACAUAGAGUAUAUUAUACGAAUAUGAACCUAGUAAUUUCAUUCUGCAGUUCUGAAUCCAAUUUCAUUCUAAUACUCAACAAAGUUGACAUUAAAGACAACUUAUGAAAUAACAUUAACAUACCCUGAUCCACAUAGUGAAAGAAAACAAUAUGAGGUCUUUUUAUAUCGUCAACCAAACACAAUAUAAAUUUUAUCCGAUAAAUCCAAACGACCCUUUAAAAAGCACAAAUUCUUACCCAACCCCACAAAAAUAAGUACCUUCCAGAAACGGUGGCGUCGAAAGUAAAAGCAACAAGGUACUUCCCCGGAUUCUUCUCAUCAGGCUCAAUUUUCAGAGUUUCCUUCUUCAGAUUAACAUCAUUACGUAUAGUCACUGCUUUUUGAUGCAACACAUAUGGUGCUGCCAUUGCCCGUGGCCGCGGCGGCGGCGGUGGCGUCGAAUAGUACCCCGGGUACUGAUAAUACGACGGCCCAUGUGGGAAUCGAGAAAGAUACGGUGUUGCCGCAAACACAUACCCGUUCGCACGUAUCUCCGGUUGAGGUGGCGGCGGCGGCGGUGGUGGGUGGCUCCUCCGGCUGUUGCGUCGUCUCGGUCCAUUCACACCCCUGCUUCCAGCAUUUCCCAUCUCAAAAUUUGAAAGUAGAAACUCUAAUUCGGAUUACAGAAGCUUAAUUUUACCUCUGAUCACACCAUGAAAGAGAACAGAUUUGUAGAGUUUUAGACACCCUUUGCUUCCUUUUUUUACACAACAAAGAAGAAAUCAACAGAAACUCAAAGAGAAUUUACUGAAUUAGUGAAUUGAGAAGACAAGGAAGAUGAAAUUGAGGAUGAAUGAAUGUUCAUUGUACAGCUACAGAAAUAUUUACAUUUUACAGUAUAGAGUUGAAAAAGGUAAGUUAAAAAGUUCCAGUAAAUUUUUUUCUAUAAAAGUUUCAAGUAUAUCCAAUGAGUUGGAAACAAGUUAUUUAGGUAAUUAUUUAUACAGAAAAGCGCCUAAAAUACCCUUUAAAUAUUGAAAAUGGUAUAAAAUUAUCCUUCAUCCACUUAUUGGCUCCAAAAUGCCGUUCCCACCCACCUAUUGGGUCCAAAAUACCCUUGUCAUCCACCUUUUGGUUCAAAAUUGACCACUUAUUUAACGGUUUUAUAUUUAAAUAUUUUUUAAAAUACGUGGCGCUCAACUAUUUGUUAUAAUUUAACUUAUUAGUGUAAUUUAUAAAUCAAUCCACUACCCACCCAUUACUAAUUAAAUCCCUCUAAAUUAAUGAACCCGUCAAAUUAUUAAUGCAAGCUACUACCAAUUGAGUGUUUUUAAAAAAUAUAGAAGAAAAUUAUCAUACAUUCAAGUGGCUACAUAAAAAUCACCGAUAAACUUAAAAGUCUGACUAUGUUCAUCUUAAUUAUUCUUACGUCUUAAUUAUGUGAUGUUACCUCAUAGGUAACUUUUUUUCAAAAUAAUAUAUUAAAGGUUUUAAAAUAAAUCAUAAAUAUUUAUAAAAUUAUAUUUAAAAUAAGAGGCAUUAAUUAAAUCGGAAAUGUAUUAUUUCUUUACCUUUAAUCAUAAUUUUCUAAUUCAAUUUUGAAAGAAAGUGUCCUCCUAAAUAAGUGGCUCAACCUAAAUUUCAUUGGGGUUUCGAUUCGGACUCGAAUAAUUUUGAAUGUCAUUUUCAGUAAUCUAUAAUUUCAUCGUGUUUUAGUAGUGUUUAUGACAAUUUUGAUAUUAUAAUUGAAUUAUUAAUUGAGUGAGGUUUAGUUUGUAAUGAGUGGGUAGUGGAUUAGUUUAUAAAUUAUAUUAAUAAAUUAAAAUUAUAAUUAAUAGUUGAACGCCCAGUAUAUAAAAAAAAUAUUUAAAGAGUUUAAUCUUAAAACAAUUGAAAAUGGUCAAUUUUGAACCCAAAGGUGGAUGACAAGUGUAUUUUGGAGUCAAUAGGUGGAUGGAAAGGGCAUUUUGGAGCCAAUAGGUGGAUGAAGGGUAAUUUUGUACCAUUUUCAAUACUUUAAGGGUAUUUAUCAUUUUAUUAUUGCGAUUCAAAACGAGUCUUGAGCGAACGAUCCAACGAAUUCAAUCGAACUUAUAUUUAUGGUUCAACUUACAAAAUACUAAUCAUAAUGCAAAAGUUCAAUUCUCAUAAAUGAAAGAAACAUAAAUCCACUAAAGUCUAUUAAAUCGGUUCCACAAAUCUGAAAGUUAGGCAUCUAAUUUUUAAAUAUUAAGUCUAAGAGUAUCAAAAACACUAAAAUAAAUAAAUAAAGUAGUUUGUGUCCGAAAAUUAAGGACAUCUUGACAUGACCAAUAGAAUCCAACACGAGCUAGAAUAAAUAGCUGGAACCUAAUAUGUUGGAGACUAGCUAUAACUGAGGGCUAGUUGAAGUCGUUGGUAUAACUCGUUGCAUUCCACAAAAGGAAAAAGAAGAAAACUACAAAUAAGGGUCAGUACAGUACAAUAUGUACUGAGUAGAUAUCAUCAACCGACCCAAAUAAAAACUAAUAUGUAAUAAGCAAUAGUAUAAAAUCAACUAUAGCACUUAGCAGGUGGCAAGCAACAUAUAACAUGGACAAAUAACAACAACACCGAGACGAGUAUUUAAAUAAGUCAUAAUAUCAAAAACACAUAUGAGGACUCAUGUCUCUACACCACGUUUUUUUUUUAAAAACUUGAUAUAUUGAGAUAACUCAUAAUUCUUAUACAAGCAACCCUAAAAACUACACAAUACUCUAUCCCACCGAUGAUCAUGCAUCAUCUCAAUUGUGACAUAGUGCGUUUGUCAUUUUAGCCCUACUAAUUAUGAAGUGGAUGAAUUAAAAACUUAGAGAUUUUAAAAAGUUCUAUCAUUUUCAAAAUAAUUAAUUGAGGAUAUAAUAAGUAAAAAAAAAAUUUCUUAAUUUAUCAAAACGAACAAGUAAUCAGAAACAACUAAAAAAUUGAAAAUUGAACAAGUAAUCAGGGACAAAUAUAGGGGCAGACCCACAUAUAUCCUAUCGGAUACUCGAGCACCCAUUAAUCCUAACAUAAGUUCGUACAUUUAUAUAUAUAAAAAAAAAAUAUAACAUAGAUAUAUUAACAGUUUAGGACCCAGUGAACAAAAGGCUUUAUAGGUGAGUUGGUUUAGUUUUGAUCCAUAUUGUUAUUACGAUAUCAAACUUUAUGGAAUAUCUUUUAUCCCUAACUAUUUUAUAGUAUAUUUUUUUACCUCAAAACUAUUUAAUAGUGUGUAUAAAGGCAUAUAUAUGCUCACGUGAACACAUUACUAUUUAUGAUUAUGCAAUAUUUUUUAUAUUCACAUGAACACAUAUAUACCUUUAAAAUAUACUAUUAAAUAGUGUAGAGGGGUAAAAAGUCCUUUUCAAAAAUUAAUAUCGUAACAACAAUUUCAACCUAAGUUUGAAUAUAUUUUAGACCCUUUUCCCAAUUUUUUGUGAUGGAAAGAAAAUCAAGAUUUUCUUGAGAAAUUUUGGCACCUCAUAAAUCCCUCACGCUAAUUCAUUUUUUUUCUAAAAAAAAAUUUAAAAAAAUGAAAAGUUCUUUUAACUAUAACAUUUAAAUAGUUAUGCAUGUAUAUACUCUUAUACUAGGCGACUCACAGUAACUUUUAUAUUAGGUGGCGAGCAUUCUUAAACAUAAAAUCUUGAAUUUGUCACUGAAUAACUUAUUUUGUUAUUAUAAUAAAAAAUUAUAGGUCCAAGCACUAUUUAAUAUCUCCAAUUCUAAUCAAACAUAGGAUAAAAUAAUUUUAUAUUUUAUUUAUAAAUUAUACUUUACCUUAUAUAUCACGUCAAAAAAUUAAAAAAUAUAUUAACUGUAAUCAAUAAAAACAUGUUAUAAAUCUAGCUUCAUGUACCCACACCCAAAUACGAGAAGUGCACGCAUGCAUGACACAACUCAAGUUGGUUCAUACUCCACUUUAUUUUAUUUGAUCGUGCUAUAUCAAAAAUAAAUAUUACAUUUUACUUGUUAUUUUAAUGAAUCAAAAGAGUUUAUUAUUUUUUAUGUUAUUCAUAAUUUUAAAUAACAAUACAAAAUAAUAAAAAUCAAAUUUAAAAUUUUAAUAUAUCAUUAAUAAGAAUAAAAGAAUUAUUUAUAUGAAAUUUUCUUAAAUAUGUUAUGUCAACAAUAAUCAAAUAAUAUGAAACAGAGAACGAAUAUACUUUUCUUCUUAAUUGUAUAAUUGAAUUCAUCUAGAAGAUUAACCUUAAAAUGCCAACCCAAAUGUUGACAAAUUCACAUGAUUCUCGUCAUUAAAUUAUAGUUUAUACACGCACCUUAUAAUAAUAUUAAUAGUACAUGACUUAGUCAUGAUAAAUUAAUAUAUAUUGAUAUAACCAUCGAAUACAAAUAAGUUUUUACUUGUAUCAGAUGUUUAUUUCAAAUCAAUACAUGAAUAUAUAACUCUGAGGGUAGCUCGGCUGGUAAACGCCCUUCAGAUUGCCAGUUUGUAAAGCGAUACCUGAAAACCACGGUAAAAAAAUAAAAUAGAAUACAUAAAUAUAUAAUUAUGUUUGUAUGUACAUUUAAUUCAUUUAGUCAUGACUAAUUAAUGUAUAUAAUUUUAAUUAUUAAUUACAUUAAUUAAUUAAAAAAUAAUUUGACGUAAAUAUCGUAUGGAUUAAAUUUUUCACCUGUGGACAGUCCUCACUACUAAAAUGGAGACUAGUCGUUAUAAAAGUCACCCAUGGCAACCCAUGCACCUAACUUUUAUUCUAUUUUUUCAAUUUUCUUUCUUCUUACAAAUGAUUAUUUCUCUGUUUAAUUUGUUGUAAGAUUGAUUUUGUCAUUAAUGGUAAAAAAAAAGUGUAAAGUUGUCCCUGUUUCAUUCAAAUCAAUAACUUUUAUUUAAAAUAAUAUUUUAAAAUACGUUUGUAUAUACAAAAUAAAAAAUAUUUAAUUUCUAUGAUCAAACGUUUAUAAAAUUUCAAAAAAAAAAAAUGGACAAAUUUGCGCCGGCUAUUAUAUUGAUGGGAAUGCGGGAGGCUAUAAUUACAUACCAUCGCUGUCCAUAAUAAAAAGUGAAUGCAUCAAAACCAAUAUUGAGUCAAAAUUUAAAAUUUUAAUUUUUUAUUAUUAUUAGAUUCUAAAAUAAUAAUUAUACAUAAUACAAUGAAUCAAAAUCUAAUUCAAAAUUAUUGAAUUAGAUCAAAUCUGUAAUUAACAUAUCGAUUUCAUUUCCGAUUAAAAAGGGAAAGAAAGACGCAAUGGAAACAAUUUCAAUUUCUCUUAGAAAUAUAGAGGGGAAUAAUUUUUUUUUUAAAGUAAGUAGUCAACAAUUUACUUUUGAAAAUUAUAUGUACACGUUGCAUCCUUCUCUUGUAAUGACCAGCAUGUCAAUUUAGAAAUUGUUAAUAAAAUAAGAAAUAUUUUGGACUCUUGAAUCACGUAUUAAAAUAUUUAUUAAAGAUCUAAUAAAAAAAAUUGAAUUUUGUGAAUCAAAUAUUCAUUAAUUAAAUGCCUACACAAUAUUUAUUAGGAAUCUAGUUAUUAUCGUAUAUUACUUUAUGUCUCUCCUACGGAGUCAAACUUUUUUAUUAAGAGAUUUGAAAAAUAAAAAAAAAAUACAUUAAAAAAGUUAAAGAGAGUUCUACAUAUACUAUAUAUACAUAAAAUAAUUAAUUAUUUUUCUAUUUGACUAGUUAAUAUGUUCUUAAAUUAUUAAUAACUUUAAAAUUAUUUCUAUACUUGACUAGCUAAACUUAAAUACAAUUCUGAUUCUUUACAUGACAUAGUUAAUGAUCUUAAACUUUUAUAAGUACAUGUAAUCUCAUUUACGGGUCCUUAAAGUUAUUCACACAUUUCACUUAAACACCUUAACCAGAGGUUGUUUCUAUUAAACACCUCUAACGUCAAAAUAUGUAACUAUUAAAUAUUUUUUGAUGACAUGUCAUUACAAAUGUAAUGUAAUUGAAAGUAAGCGCGGGAAAGCCAUAAUCUUUUUCUUGCUAACCAAUAAAAAAUGGACACAUCAACCUUAAGAAAAUUCAUAAUCUAAACAUGAUUUAUUUUUAUUUUUUAUAAAGAAAAUAAUUGUCUUCUCCAACUCAUCUUCCCUAUUGAAAUUCUCAAUUCAAAAUUACUUGAACCUCAUCGGCCAAAUUACUUUGCUACCAUAUAAUCCUUCAUUCAUUGUUUCUUUUUAGCAUUAUUUCACUAUAAUCAAUAUCAUUGUCGUUGUUCUUUUCAUCGAAAAAAACAUCACUGAAAUAAAUAACUAGUAAAAACACAAAAACAUCAAAAGAUUUUACUGUUAAAAUUUUCAUUUGAGUUGUCAAGAGAAUUUUAUCAAAAAUAAAUCAAAUUGAGGUCAAAACAAUUCCGACUGAAUUCCAUUAUUUCCGAUAAAAUUAAUACGAAUCUGAAAUUAUUUUCUUAUGUAAUUAAAAAUGGAAAGGAAAAAAGGUAGAGUAAGGAUAAUUAUUGGAGUAUACACAAUUUUUUUUUUACUAAAAAAGAUGUUCAAUUGAACAAACCUAAUAAAAUGCUCAAAUAAAAUAUACGAACAACUUUAAAAAAAUCACAUAUAACUUAAAGCCUUAAAAAAACAAUACAAACUGUCUCUCAGUGAGCUACCAUACAAUAAUUAAUAUGAUGAUCAUUGACCAUUGUCCACUAAACAAAAGUAUCAAUCAAUUGAUACAUAUACAUCAUGAUUAAUAAGAUUGACAAGGCUUUAUUUAAAAGAUAAAAACAAUUUAAAGAAUCGAUAAAUUUUAUAGCUAAAUAGUAAAUUUUAUGGUAAUUAGUAAUAAAUUUGUAGUUCCUUCUAUUUAUUUAUUUUUUAGUGGAACCAGUAAGGUACUGUAUUCUUUUCAUUUUUUUUAUAUAAAAUAUUAGAAAGUUGUAUACUUCAAAAAUUAGAGUGGUCAAAAUAUGUGGGCUUGAUAUUAUAUUUGUUCAUUAAAUGAAGCUCUUUUCUAUUUUAAUUUUCUUCCAUCCACUUCUUUCUAGCUUUUUAUGUUAAUUUUUCAGAAAUUAAUUAACCAUUAAAGAGUUAUGAAGUUUUCUUUUGCAUUUUCUAAUUGUUUUAAUCCAACAUCUGAGAUUAUGGAAAUUAACCAAAUUAUUCCCUAUGGUAAUUAAAUUCUCUAAUCCCAUUUGUACAAUUCUUAAUAAUUACUACUGCUUUAAUUAAUUAAACUUGUACAUAUCUUAAUUAUUGUAGAAAAAGAUGGACAAAGAGUUCAAAAAUUCUCUAUUUUUUCUUACAAAGAAUUGAAGGUAGCAACUCAUGGAUUUGGAGCAUCAAAUAGAAUUGGAGAAGGAGGAUUUGGUUCUGUUUACAAGGUACAUUUUUUUAUCCGACUUUUAACUUUACGAGUACUGAAUUCUAUAACAUAUUAUUGAAAAGUUUAGAAGAUUUUUCACUCGUUCCUCUUCAGACCUUACUUAUGAAUAAGCUGUCGUUGUUCGACUUUUUGUUAGGUGGACGACUAUUUAAGUUAAUUUUGUGCAUUUUUUUUUACAAAGGGUCGGCUUGAAGAUGGAAGCUUUGUGGCUGUGAAAGUUUUAUUAGUUGAUUUAGAAUCAAUGAGAGGUGAAAGGGAAUUUAUAUCAGAAAUUGCUGCAUUGUCUAAUAUUAGACAUGAAAAUCUUGUCACCCUCAGAGGAUAUUGUGUUGAUGGGACUAAAAGACUCUUAGUCUAUGAUUACAUGGAAAAUAAUUGCCUUUCACAAACAUUACUAGGUAAUUCUUUCGUUUCUCGCGCGUUUUGAAUUUUGAAUUUUCACUCUUAUAUACUGAUAAAGUUAUAGUCAUGUGACCAUAAGGUUGUUUAUUUGAGCUAGAAACAGCCUUUUGCAGAAAUACAAAUAAGAUUGUAUAGGGAAAAAGGAUAAUAAUAUAUCCAUGAACUGUUUUAAAUGAUAUACAGAUACCUUCCGUCGUACUUUUGGAACAUUGAUGCCUCUGCUGUCAAAAAACUAGAGCAUAUAUGUAUAUACCAAUUAUACUAACGGACAUACACGUGUCAUAAUCUUAUCUGCCGGAUAGUGAAUAAGAUUGCACCACGUGUCCCUAUUUAGUCUUCCGUUAGAGUGAACGAUAUCUAUGCUCUAGUUUUUCGACAACAGAGACACUAAUGUCUCAAAAGUAUGACAAGGUAUCUGCAUACUAUACACGAUAUCCUUUGUCCCAACUGUAUAUAAUAGACCCUUGUGGUCUGACCGUAGUGCACCAGACUACCCAGUAUAGUGCCGAUCACAUCGAUCCGAACCACGUUAAUUAUUGUUAACUACAAAUUACAACUCAUACUAACAUGGUUGUUUGACAAGCAGGGGAAGAACAGAACAGAAGUAAAUUUACAUGGGAACUUAGAAGAAAAAUUUCAAAAGGAAUAGCAAAGGGACUUUCAUAUCUACAUGAAGAAGUGAAUCCUCAUGUUGUACAUAGAGAUAUUAAGGCCAGCAACAUAGUUCUUGAUCACAAUUUCACGCCAAAAAUCGGGGAUUUUGGUUUAUCUAGGCUAUUUUCGAAGAACAUUUCACAUAUUACAACUCGAGUUGCUGGUACAUUGUAAGUUACAUAUUACAAAAAUUGUUCUUUUUGAUUGCACACAUCAACUUUACGAGUGUCUAAGCAAAUCAUGUUAUUAAUUUCUUGAUUAAUGUUAUGCCCGAAGAGGCUAUCUUUCUCCAGAAUACGCGAUCAGUGGACAUUUAACUCGAAAAUCAGAUGUUUAUAGCUUCGGAGUAUUAUUGCUAGAAAUAAUCAGUGGUUGCCCUGUUAUUGCCUUUGACAUUGAGAGAGGAGAACAUUUCCUAGUUAACAAGGUAAUUAUCAAUCAUAUUAAGUUAAUUAAGCUUAAUCCUAAUUUUUUUACAAUCUGAUAAUCAUAAUCUUCAUUUUAUCAACAAAAUUUAGCUCUUAUAAUCACUGUAUAAUUAGUGUAUAUACACCAUCAAUUGCUACUAAAAUGCUCAAUUACUAUAUUAUUGGCUUGAUGAGACACUUGCGUAUAUUGACAGUAUAAAUAAUUUCGAUUUAUUAGUGUGUAACACAUAAUUUGUCAUAUGCAAACUUUAUGUAACUAGUUACACUUUUUACUAUCAGUUUAUCAGUAGUUAUCAUUUAAGUGAUCUGAUGGUGUUUAAUUUAUUUCAGGCAUGGGAAAUGUACAAUUCUGGUAAAUUAUUAGAAUUAGUGGACCCUAUAUUAAAUGGAGAAUUUCGAGACGACGAAGCUGUCCGAUUCUUGAAAAUUGGGUUACUCUGUGUGCAAGAAAUAGCCAGUCUACGUCCAAAAAUGUCAUCGGUUUUUGAGAUGUUGAAUAGUGCAAAUUAUAUGGAAUUAGAUGACAUAAAUAUUAUUCAACCUGGAAUUCUUGCUGAUUUGGGAGAUGUUAAAAUAGGUCAAAAACAAUCAUCUAAUAGUUUUUUGUCCAAUGUUGUAACUUUAGUUAAAAAAAUGUUGGUACAAAGUGUAUAUUUCUCACACACAAAGUUGGCCUAAUACUCUCUUUGAGAAAAUAUAGGAUUCGAAGCAGAAACAGAUUUAAGAUUUGAAUUUUAUAGAUUUUUAUAAAUAUUUCAAAGUGAAUAUACAAGAAUAAUUAGUUUCGUUCACAAGAAAAUAUAUAAAUAUUGUUCCCCUUUAGUUUGCCUCCACAAGGUAAUAAUAAAGUCUGCAUACACUCUAUCCUCCUCACUCUAUCCUCCUCAGAUUUCAUUUUGUGAGAUUUCACUGAGUAUAUUGUUGUUAUAUUAAAAUUGAUUUGAUAUAAGUACUCCGUGUAAAUAAGUAUUUCCAGUGACAAGAAAUUGAGAGAGUAGAACACACUUUUCUUAGUCCAUUAUUUUGAUGUUGAAGCAAAUUUACAAGAGAAAUUAGAAAACCAAAAUAAUUAAAAACAACCAAACAAGACGGAAUUACAAUAUUUUGGCACAUUUUAAAAUUAAUAAUAAUUGCCAGUAUAGCUUAUAUUAAUUCUUAUUAUUAUGCAUUGCUUCUGAAUGAAUUAAUUGAUUUGGAUGCUCCAGCUCUCAAAAUAUAUUGAUGAUAUAUUGCAGCAAUUGCAGCACCAAUAAAAGGUCCAACCCAAAAAAUCCACUGCACCAUCAUACAAAAAAAAAAAAAUUAUAAUUUAGAAAAAGUAUUUUUUGAUGUAAAAAAUAAAAAAAAUAAAAAUUGCUUACUUGGUCAUCCCAUGAUUUAUUUUUGCCAUAAAUUACAGCAGCUCCAAAACUUCUAGCUGGGUUAAUACCAGUUCCAGUAAUUGGAAUAGUGGCCAAAUGAACCAUAAAUACAGCAAAUCCAAUUGGAAGUGGUGCCAAUACCUUUAAUCAAUUAAAAAAAUAUUAAUUUCUUAAUUGAUUAACUCAAGUUAAUUAUUAGUAAAAAGAAGCAUCAAUAGACAGGAAUUUAACUUGUAUACAUCAAAGGUGCAAAUAUAAGUCCUUGUGAUAAUUAAUUAUUGUAUUCUUUAGGUAAAUAGUUAUGUUUAUUUAAUUAGACUCAAUUGAAUAUAUUUAUUUUGAUUGGAUUCACGAUCCAAACUAUUUAUCUGACUGCUCCCUUGUUUUAAUCACUUAAUCACUGCUUCUUCAUCUUUGAUACGGUUAGAGUAUAUAUUUACACUGAUAGUAUCUAUACGCUCUGAUGAUAUCAAACAUUAAUUGAGCAGUCUUUUAAUUGAAACACUUCAUGUUCUUACUUGAUGCCAUCAGAGUAUAUAUACACUCUAAUAGUAUCAAGGAGUAACUGAAUGACGUUUUCCCUAAAGUACUACUUCUUCCUCUUUGAUGCCAUCAAACUAUAUAUACACUUUGAUGGUAUUAAACUGUAAACAUGCAUUAGUAAUUAAAAACAGAGAGUGUGAAAAUAGGGGUUAGCCGCUUGUAAAUAGUUUCCCUCAUUAGGGUACAAGUGUUCUUUUCCCUUUUGUUUUUUUGAUUUUCCACUUUGUAAUUCGGAUUCAUAUUGAAUCUCAACUAAAUUCAGAUCACGCACUGCAAGGCUCAUUCUAAAAGUGAUCUAUAAAAAUCUUUUACUGUACUAGUGUGUAAGGGCAAAGCUAGGGGGGGAUGCAAAAGGUUUAUCUGAAUGUUCUCUUGUCAGAAAAGUAUAUUGUGUAUAUAAGAUCAAAAUAUUGACAAAGAGUUUCCUAAAGACGAAUCAAAGCGACAAAAUAUCAAAUCUCAAUAAUUCAUGACAAUAAGAUCACUCUGCGGCUCGAAAAAAUUGUUAGAUAGUGUUGAAAACUUGUAUACUCACAGGAACAUGAGAGUCUCUGGCAUUUCUCUUGGGAUCGGUAGCAGAAAAAACAGUGUAAACAAGAACAAAAGUGCCAAUAAUUUCAGCACCUAAUCCAGUGGCUAUGUUGUAACCAACAGCAAGUUCAUUAGCACCACCACCAUACUUAACAUAAUAAGCCUUUUGAAAUAACUUCACUAAACCACAACCACAAAUAGCUCCUAAGCAUUGUGCUACUAUGUAAAAAAUUGCUCUCACUAAUGACACUUUUCUGGCCAACAAGAGUCCAAAUGUCACAGCAGGGUUAAUAUGUCCACCUGCAUAUACAAAAUCAUUAAAUUUAUCGUCCGUAACAUAAUUAAGUAAAUAAAAAUAUGCUCGCUCAGUCUGAUACUUAAGUUUUCAAAUUAGAUGGUUACAUAACUCAAAUCUUAUCACUACUUAUUAUCAGGAUUAUCAGGCUCACGUAUGAUAAAACAUUAUAAUAAAAGAAAAGUUUGAUAUAUAUAUUAAUACGAAAUGAUGAUCACAUAAUUUAACGUACCAGAAAUGCCAGCUGUGCAAUAAACAAGAACAAAAAUCAUGCCACCAAAGGCCCAAGCAAUGCCAAGAAUGCCAACACCACCACAUUGGUCACCAUCACUUUGGCUCUUGUAGCCAAUCACAGUGAGUACAGUAAUGUAUAGAAACAAAAGUGUGGCAAUAAAUUCAGCAAUAAUAGCUCUGUAAAAUGACCAUUUUCCAAGUUCCUCAGGGUCAAUAAGUGGUGCUGGAGGUGGGUCUUGGUAGUCUUUACUAGGGGCAUAUUGGUCAUUUCCAUACUCCAUAUCCUUUGCCAUUUGUAACUAAUAAAAAAAAUAAUUUGUUUUUUUUUUUUUGAGUUAGAGGGAAAUGUGUAAAAAUAAUUAAUUGUGGUGGAGUUGAUAGAGAGUGAAGAGUGGUAUUUAUAUAUGGAUUAGCUUGGAUUAAUUAAUUAAUUAGUGGAGUAUUAAUUAAACUCACUUUUUAGCCGCCCCAUUUUAAUUUCUUUUUUGUUAUAUUAAUUUUCAUGAUCAACAUAGCUCACCUUUUUAAAAGGGUCUGAUAUCUAACAAUAAGAUAACAUAUUCAGUAUAAUUUUAUAAACGAAAUAUAAAAAAGAAAAAUUGCACGUAAAUUUUUUUAUGAUUUUAAAGAUAAUAGUUAAGAAAUUUAUGAUAAAUUUACUCCAACUUUAAAAAGCUAAUUCAAUAAAUGAAAAUUAUUCGAGAUAUAUAAAUAAUAAUAAUAAAAAAAACAUCAAUACUCUAUGUGUGGGACUCAUCUUAUGUUAUAAUAAUAGCUUUUUUUUAUUUAUGAAAAAACAAGACAUAAUAUGAAAAUGUUAAAGUGAACCGCCCAUCUGUAUAAACCACAAAUUAAUAUUUGUUGAUAUAUAAUGACUCAUAUCACCGUUCAUUCCAACUCAGCCCAUAAUUAUUUUCUUAAUUAGAAUCAGUAAUAUAUAGCCAAUCAUUUGGUUUUAUUAAGGAAUUAAUAUGUGUUAUAAAGGCAUAUUAUAUAACGUUAUCUCCACGAGUUUAGAAAGAAUAAAAAGGAUGCUAUUAUUAGUGUAUUCGAUACGAAAAAAUAUUUUUAAUUUAACAAUAUUUAUAUAUAAUUUAAUAAAAAAUUAUACGAAGGGGAGAGUAAUCGGAGGUGGAAUGUUGGGCGCGUUGGAUGAAUAGGAUGAUACAUCAAACAUAAACUAUCAUUUGUAGAAUUUAUUUUUCUGAAGAAAAUGUUUUUCACAUUCUAUCUAAUUAAAUAUGAGAAAAUAAAAAAUUAUUUUUUUUCGUAUCAAAUAUAUCAUAAGUGGUUAUAGUGUCUCGAUGUGUAGAGCAACUAAGAUCAUAAUAACUUAGGAUUACGUUAAUCUAAAUUUAGUCCGAUUUCCAAACAUACAUUGAACACAAAAUUAAGAUCAUAGUAAUUUAGAAUUACGUUAAUAUAAAUUUAAAAACAAAUAUUAAACUAUUAAACACACACGAGUGAGUUGUAAAUAAAAAAUAGAAAAAAGUAUCAUAGUAAGGUGCUAUUGGUUUUGUGGACUCUAUUAAUUGGUCGGUUAUAAAUUGCAUUUCUAUAAUUAAAAAAAUUUAAACUCUCACUUAUUUUUUACUUUUUUUUAUUAGUUUUAUGAUUUAGGAUUAUGAGUGGAUUUAGUACUACUUCAUCUAAUUAUAUUAUAUGAUAUUGCUUGAUUAUAUAAGAGGUUAGAAAAUUACCUGCACAACAGUUGUAUUUUUAUAAGGCCACUCAAUAUUUGUGGUGGAAUUACAUUAUUUUAGUCAAUAUAAUUACAAUAUGUUUCACUUACUAUAUGGAUCUCCCAAUUACCAUUACAUUCUCUUUAGGCUUUCAAAAUUUUGACACUUAUCCAUUCCAUUAGUGAUAGUGGAAAAAUUAUAAGAGCAUUAAAAGUUUAAACAAUUAGUUUGAUAGAAAAAUAUUAAAUAUCACAUGAUCAAAGACUGAGUCUUGAAAGUUGUAAAAGUGUGUACUCUUUUGUCUUAAAUUAUUAAUCGUAAUUUUUAAAAAUAGUUAUAGCAGAUAAUUCAUUUUAGAAAUUUAAGAUAAAAUUGAUUUUUUUUUCUCAUUCUAUCAUUACUAAUUAUUUUUGAAUACUAUUAUAUAAUUUAGAUAUAGAGGUUAAGUACUUAAAAAGUUGUAUUAUAUGGAAUGGAAAAAAAAAAGUCAUUUUGAAAGAUCUUAAUUAGUAGCUAAACUGUUCGAUUAUUUAUCCAAAUUUUUAUUUUAUUGGUGAGGGUUCGAUUUUCACUUUAUAAUUCCUUCUUUCAAUCCUACCCACUUUAUAUUUUUUUUGAAUAUUUAUUUAAGUGAAAUAGAUCUAAAUUAAUAAUUUUUGUAUUGUAAGUGUUCAAGUAGCAAAAACUUCAAAAUUAAUUUUAUCCUAAUUAAUUUCCAUCGUCAAAUUACCAAUCAUUUAGGAACAAUAACUCAAGCACACAACAAAUAUUUUCCUAUUAAUAAUCUAAAGCAUUUAAUUAAUUAUUAAUUCAAAAGCAAAAAUGUACUACAAUAUGAAUUUGCAUGUCCAACCCAUGCAACCUUCAACACCUAAACUCAUCCAAUUGGGGCCUAAUUAAAACUUCAAUCUCUCGUAGAAACAAAUUUCGAGAAGAGUUUUACUUCAUAUUCUAUAUGCUGACAGUAUAAUAAAAAAUCAAACUAAGUAUCAUCAUCAGAUCCCUCGUUGAUCUCUUCCCUAAUAGUCUCCAAUCCGGACUUAUGCGUAGGCUUUCGUCGAUACGUUAUAAGGGCUGGGGCAACCUCCAUCCUGCAAGAAUGUACAUUUCUUGAUCCCUUUGUCAUAUUUGCAAGGAAAUUAAUUGAUCAAAUAACAACUUAAAAAUAGUGAUUUAAUUUAAUUAUUAGGAUAUGGUCCCUUUCCUCCUAUAGCUUUUAUGGAAGAAAAAGAGACCACAAUUUGAGUUUAUUAUUAUUUGUAAAUUGUUUUUAAUCUUCUGAUGAAU